rnacentral:sRNA from 1 species
CAACAGGUGCUUUUUGCUUAGCGACAGUACUUGAUACACCAUGGGCACGUUGGAUAGGUGGAUUAUGGACUCCAGCUGCAGUGGCAGCUACUGUUUUGACAAAAAAUAAAAUUGAGGCAAUUCCAUUACUUGUGGUAACUCGUUGCUUUUUGCAAGUAGCGGUAUGGUUACGUCGCGGUGUGCGUGAUUGGCGUCUAAUCA